UAUGAACGCUAGCGGGAGGCCUAACACAUGCAAGCUGAGCGGUAGAGUUUCUUCGGAGACUUGAGAGCGGCGUACGGGUGCGGAACACGUGUGCAACCUGCCUUUAUCAGGGGGAUAGCCUUUCGAAAGGAAGAUUAAUACCCCAUAAUAUAUAGAGUGGCAUCACUUUAUAUUGAAAACUGAGGUGUAGAAAGGUGGGCACGCGAAAGAUUAGAUAGUUGGUGGGGUAACGGCUCGCCAAGUCGAUGAUCUUUAGGGGGCCUGAGAGGGUGGUCCCCCACACUGGUACUGAGACACGGACCAGACUCCUACGGGAGGCAGCAGUGAGGAAUAUUGGACAAUGGGUUAGCGCCUGAUCCAGCCAUCCCGCGUGAAGGACGACGGCCCUAUGGGUUGUAAACUUCUUUUGUACAGGGAUAAACCUAUUUACGUGUAAAUAGCUGAAGGUACUGUACGAAUAAGCACCGGCUAACUCCGUGCCAGCAGCCGCCGUAA
rnacentral:rRNA from 1 species